GAUGAAGAACGUAGCGAAAUGCGAUACUUGGUGUGAAUUGCAGAAUCCCGUGAACCAUCGAGUCUUUGAACGCAAGUUGCGCCCGAAGCCAUCAGGUUGAGGGCACGUCUGCCUGGGCGUCACAUAUCGUUGCUCGAUGCCUAUCGCAUUGCGAUAGGACUUAGGGCGAAUGAUGGCUUCCCGUGAGCGUUGUUGCCUCGCGGUUGGUUGAAAAUCGAGUCCUUGGUAGGGUGUGCCAUGAUAGAUGGUGGUCGAGUUAGCACGAGUCCGAUCAUGUGCAUGCUCCCCAAAAUAUGGCCUCUGUGACCCACACGCGUCUUUUGACGCUCAUGACGAGACCUCAGGUCAGGCGGGGCUACCCGCUGAAUUUAAGCAUAUCAAUAACGGAGGA
rnacentral:misc_RNA from 1 species